GAAAAUUUCUAAAUUAUCUUCUAAUCUAGAUCAAGAUUCUAUAACAAUUCAAGAUUUCAAACUGAAUCAGUCUAAUUCUUGUUCAAUUUCAGUCCGGGCGACAGAAAGUGAAGCCGAAGAAGAAGCGACUCCACGCCAGCUUUAAGAACGUUUAAGGAUGAGCAGGCGAUGGAAUGGAUCGGUGUUGAGCGGAUUCCCUUUUGAUGGUCAUGUAAUGAAACCUUGAGUAUGCAUCUCCAUAUGCAUAACUCACACAUUUUUCCGCUGCAAACACUCUGACUUAUUUAUCGUUUCUACUUGAACUUAUUACUACUUCAUUUUGA